rnacentral:tRNA from 1 species
GGGGACGUAGCUCAUUUUGGGAGAGCGCCGCCCUUGCACGGCGGAGGUAGCCGGUUCGAUCCCGGUCGUCUCCA